rnacentral:tRNA from 1 species
GCCGCUAUGGNGAAAUUGGUAGACACGCUGC